AACGAACGCUGGCGGCAGGCUUAACACAUGCAAGUCGAACGGUUGUAGCAAUACAGCAGUGGCAGACGGGUGAGUAACACGUGGGAACCUUCCUAGGGGUACGGAACAACUCAGGGAAACGUUAGAGCUAAUACCGUAUACGUCCGUGAGGAGAAAGAUUUAUCGCCCUUAGACGGGCCCGCGUAGGAUUAGGUAGUUGGUGGGGUAAGUGGCCUACCAAGCCUACGAUCCUUAGCUGAUCUGAGAGGAUGAUCAGCCACACUGGGACUGAGACACGGCCCAGACUCCUACGGGAGGCAGCAGUGGGGAAUCUUGGACAAUGGGCGCAAGCCUGAUCCAGCCAUGCCGCGUGAGUGAAGAAGGCC
rnacentral:rRNA from 1 species